UCUUGAAACAAGGAUUGGUCGGCCAGCU
rnacentral:sRNA from 1 species